rnacentral:lncRNA from 1 species
UUUCAGCAUAGUCAUGACCAUUAGCUGUGCAGUAGGAAUGCCUGCCUAUGGAGCCCUGCUGCUCUGGAUCCCAACUGUAGUCUGAUUUCCUGGCUUGGCCUUGGACCUGCCUCAUCCUUAUGGACCUGCACGGUGAUCCCUGGACCUGGUCCGACCUGUGGAUUGACUUCCUGACUUCAUCGUGGAGUUGCCUCAUCCACAAGGUAUUGCCCUACGAUGUGGACUUUUGACUGGACUUGACACCAUUUAAUGGUCUUUGCUUCCUCAUUUAGGUGCUGUGGUAAAGGCUGUGGUUGGUGGGAUGCCUGGCAGUCAUGGGACCUUCCUUAGCUCCUGGCCUGCCUCCCUGAGGGAGCAGCCCUUCUCUUGCUGCUCUCUGGCACAUCUCACCAAACCAGACACCAGAAGGGCCAGCAAGGCAAAAGGGAUCCUAGGUGGCCUGAAGCUUUCCAAAGGUCUGUUUCGCCUUGUGUUAGCCCACUUGGGAGCUGAGCAUCUGCACUUGGAGUUGGUAUCUCGUGGCUGUGGGGCUGCAGGGACGUGCAGGCUGCAUGGCAGUCCCCGUGUCAGGACCAGCUGCUCCAUCCCUGGGGCCACG